AGCUACAUCAGUUGGAAUCAUCGGUUCCCGUACGAUCACCGAAGUUAAGCAAAGUCUAUCUUGGUCAUUACCUAGAUGGGAGACUGCUUGGGAAUACCAGGUGCUGUAAU